rnacentral:rRNA from 1 species
CACGCUGUAAACGAUGGAUACUAGGUGUAGGAGGUAUCGACCCCUUCUGUGCCGGAGUUAACACAAUAAGUAUCCCACCUGGGGAGUACGGCCGCAAGGUUGAAACUCAAAGGAAUUGACGGGGGCCCGCACAAGCAGUGGAGUAUGUGGUUUAAUUCGAAGCAACGCGAAGAACCUUACCAGGGCUUGACAUCCCUCGCAAUCUGUGGAAACACAGAGUUCCUACGGGACGAGGAGACAGGUGG